GUACCAUUUGACGGAGAUGGUGCCUGCGAGACCUGCAAGUGUCCAAUCAACACUACGACACCGACAUGUGAAAACAUUUGCACAAUCACCUGUCCUCCAUACGAAAAGAUUUACCUCAAUGAGGAUGACCCGACCAAGUGCUGUGAAUGCGGACCAUUGAUAGUUCCCACUACACAACUUGCAACUACAGCAGG